GGUGCAAAUCGGCUUAUCGCGGUUUCAUUUAAUGAAAGUGAGGAAAGUCCGGACAUCACAGAGUAGCCUGCUUCCUAACUGGAAGGCGUCAAUUCAAUUGAUGACAGCAAGUGCAGCAGAGAGUAAACUACCUCAUUGGAAACAAAGGGGAAAAGGUGAAAGGGUGGGGUAAGAGCCCACCAGUACAUUUGGCGACAAGUGUAGCUGGGUAAACCUCAGGCGAUGAAAGGUCAAAUAAACUUCGGUUUGAGGGCGACUCGUCCGAACGGAGAGGGUGGACUGCUUGAUCCCGUGAGUGAUUGCGGGGCUAGAUAAAUGAUAAGCUAUUACAGAAUCCGGCUUAUAGAUUUGCAUUACAU
rnacentral:RNase_P_RNA from 1 species